GCAAACUUGGUCAUUUAGAGGAAGUAAAAGUCGUAACAAGGUUUCCGUAGGUGAACCUGCGGAAGGAUCAUUACAGAGUUCAUGCCCUCACGGGUAGAUCUCCCACCCUUGAAUACUAUACCUUUGUUGCUUUGGCGGGCCGCCUUAGGCUACUGGCUCCGGCUGGUAAGUGCCCGCCAAAGGACCCCUAAACUCCUGAAUAUUAGUGUCGUCUGAGUCUUAUAUAAUAGUUAAAACUUUCAACAACGGAUCUCUUGGUUCUGGCAUCGAUGAAGAACGCAGC
rnacentral:misc_RNA from 1 species